AUUUUCAUAAAAGAUAACAUGCAGCUACACGUCUAGAGCUGUGCACAUCACUGUAAAUAAGUCUGCAGACUCUGAAAGUUGCAUACAUCGAAGUGAAUUCAAACCAGUUGCAGGUGGGUGAGUUUCUCUGCUGUGAAGAGGCUCCUGGCUGUGAAUAAACAUAAAGCAAAGGAAACGCUGGAAUCUGUUUCUGCUGUGCAGCAAGCUCUGGUUCACUGUCAUCUCAAGGAUUUUGCUAAAGGACUUUCUGUAUGGUGAAAAUCACUUCCUGUCACCUCCUUUCUGUUGCUGGAGUAGCAAAAAGAAAUAAUUUCCCAAUACUUUAGAAGAGACAAAAAGACAAGGACCAAAUACAUUCCAAACCGGAGAAACCAAAAAGGUCAUCAGAUUAACAUACCGUGCAGUACAGACCUCAGAAGAUGCCUUCUUUUCCGCUUUUAAAUAUGUUUGGCAGACAGCUGACCAAAAUGAGUAUUGUGACCUCAUUCCCAAUUAGCUUUUUGUUAGUGGGUUUGCAGGCAAUUGUGGAUGUAAAAUUUUCAUGCCCAUGCAAAGCUGACCGGAACAAAGCUAUAUCAGCUUUCAUCUUCAUUGUUCCAGCUCUCUUUGCUUUCGUUAUAAUGUUCGUAUUGUUAAGGCCUUGUCAAUAUAAAUGUAGAUGUAAAAAACAAAACAACACUGAAACAUCUCAAGGAAAAGACACCAAAGAAACAUCUCAAGGACAGGACAACAGUGAAACAUCUCAAGGAAAAGACACCAAAGAAACAUCUCAAGGACAGGACAACAGUGAAACAUCUCUAGAAAAAGCUGUUGUAGUUUGUUGUAUUCCAGGUAUUGUGUGGAUCUGUAUAUGUUUCAUUGAUGGUGAUUAUUUUGCAUGUGGAUUAACAAACUGGACUGGACGCUAUGCCUGUGAUAAAGAACUGCAUCCAAAUUGUUUGAAUUGGUGCAAACCCACUGAAUUAAGCCCAGAAGAAUAUGAGACUGAAUAUUACGAAAAAACACGGGAGUUGAUAUUUACAUCAAAGAACAGGACGUCCCGCCUUUAAAUGGUGCUUGAUGGUGACUCCCACACCUUACUGGACUGUUCUUUGAUUAUAGGUUAUAUUCUGGCUAUUAUCUUCUGCAUCAUAGCAAUCAUUUGGGUGAGUUGGGAAGCCUUAGCAAAGCCAAAGAAGAAAGAUGUGGCAAGUUCGAUGAGCAACGCUAAAAGCGCAGAUGAGGCAGCAAGAUUUUUAAAGUGGCAACCUAGCAGAGACAAAGACAGUCACGAAAGACAGGGCAAGUCCAACAAACAUUCAGAUGAUCAACAUUGAAUGCGCAACUGAGGAUACAAUUCUCGUAAAGACAUAGGAUACAAAACCGCUCUGAUGUCAGUGCCAUCAAAUGACAUCAGCUUUUGUUUGUCUUGUGACCAAAGUUUGGAUGUAUCUUUUUGAAUGAGACCUGACUUCAUGAGGGGAUCAGCGGAAAGAUUUUCAGUGAAUAACAGAUAAAAUUUCACUCUCUUCCUCAUACAAAAUAUGCCAUCAGAGCACUUGAAAUGCAGCAAGUUAUUUGGACUAUUUUUGUACUGAUUGUUUUAUUUUUAAUUUUUAUAAACGACCCAUAAAAAGAGAAAGAUCCUUUGCAAGCUGCAGAAAGAUGUAAAUAAUAGAGUUCAGGUUUGUAUGUUCCAUUCAUGUUCUCUUCCAAAGAUUCUUUUCCUGUUUAUGAUUUUUGUUUUAUUUGAGAGAUUUUUUUAUUGUGUUAAUUUCUAUUUGUUUCAGUUAAAUUGUUGUCUGUUGUUUUUAAAGCUGCUGUCCGUAACUUUUUUUGGUUAAAAAUGAUCCAAAAUCAAUUAUUGAGCAAGUACAGUACAUAACCAGCCAGUGUUCAAAACUAUUUCCUUACCUUAACCUGAUUCACAACGGUAAGCUUGUAAUAAUGUUUUAUAAUCUGAUACUGGUAGGAAUUUGCGGGAAAUACGAGUUUGCUGACAUUUGUCUUUGCAUCAAUACGUCAUGUCUGUAAACAGAAAGAAGGAGUCCUGGCUAGUUGGCUAUGUCGCAUGUGUGGAUGCUGCUGGUGGUGCAUCAGUUGUAGCCUCUUCUUGCAGCAGCUGCAAUGUAUUUAAACUUGAGAUGGUGGCUUGUAAUCCAGAAAGUUCAAAACGACAAUCAUCAUCAACAACUGUGGUAAAAAAAGUAAAAGACUUUAAUCUUCCUUGCUGGACAGGUAAGAUAUUUAAAUGGUUCACUGGGUAAUAAGGUUACAGUAGCACAUGUUUUCGCUUAAUCCAUACAGUUAUGGAUAACGAUAAUACACACUAAAUACACGUAGUCACGCAGUGUUAAUGUUUUUAGCAUUAACAAUUCGAGAACAAAGUAAAACAAUAAUAAUUUAGCUGCAGCUGCACCUCAAAACAUUAGAUUCAUCCGCGCUGAGGAGCCGUGCCGAAGCACUACCCACGUAAAGAUAAUUCCACAAAUCACUGCAAUUGCAGGUUUCAAACAGAGAUGGCGACAAAGAGGCAAAACUUACGGACUGCAGCUUUAAAGGAACACCCCACUUUUUUUGAAAAUAGGCUCAUUUUCCAACUCCCCUAUAGUUAAACAGUUGAGUUUUACCGUUUUCGAAUCCAUUCAGCCGAUCUCCGGGUCUGGCGGUACCACUUUUAGCAUAGCUUAGCAUAGUUCAUUGAAUCUGAUUAGACCGUUAGCAUCUCGCACAAAAAUGACCAAAGAGUUUCGAUAUUUUUCCUAUUUAAAACUUGACUCUUCUGUAGUUACAUCGUGU